rnacentral:rRNA from 1 species
UACGUAGGGGGCAAGCGUUAUCCAGAUUUACUGGGCGUAAAGCGCGUGUAGGCGGCUGGUUAGGCGUGAUGUGAAAUCUUCCGGCUCAACCGGAAAACUGCAUUGCGAACCGGCCUGGCUAGAGUGCAGGAGAGGGAAGCGGAAUUCCAGGUGUAGCGGUGAAAUGCGUAGAUAUUCGGAAGAACACCAGUGGCGAAGGCGGCUUACUGGCCCAUUACUGACGCUGAGGCUCGAAAGCGUGGGGAGCAAACAGG